rnacentral:rRNA from 1 species
UACGUAGGGGGCAAGCGUUGUCCGGAUUUAUUGGGCGUAAAGAGCGUGUAGGCGGCUAUACAGGUCCGCUGUGAAAACUCGAGGCUCAACCUCGAGACGUCGGUGGAAACCGUAUGGCUAGAGUUCGGAAGAGGAGAGUGGAAUUCCUGGUGUAGCGGUGAAAUGCGCAGAUAUCAGGAAGAACACCCGUGGCGAAGGCGGCUCUCUGGGACGGUACUGACGCUGAGACGCGAAAGCGUGGGGAGCGAACAGG